rnacentral:lncRNA from 1 species
CCAAUCAGGUAGAAGGAACACCAAGGAAUCUCAAAGAAUACCAAAGAAUAUCAAGAGAUAUCAAGGUAUAUCAAAGAAUAUCAAGGAAUAUCAAGAAAUAUCAUUGUCUUCUCACAAUAACCUUUAUCACACACCAAGAAUCAAUACCAAUAUCAAUAAUCAAUACCAAUGUUUUCUCGUCAUUCGAGAAAUAAGAAAUCUCAUUUAUCAAAACUUUUGUAGAAAAGAUAUCCCAAUAAGGACUUAAUGAUGAUGAGAAGAAUUAAAAUAAGUUUUUAUUGAAGAAAGAUAUUGCCAAGGUCUUCUCAAAUUCUUGCUCUGCUCCCAUAAGCCGUUGUUCAAGGUAUGUCCUCUUCUCGACGUUCUCGCUCGUGAUAGCUUCGUAAGAUCCCUUGUAGACAUUAUCGUUCGCAAUGAAGUUGGCUCAUCUUGAUAUCAGAAGAAAUCCCGGUUAGCUUGAAGCGUCGUCGUUAAGACUAACGUUCUAUCUCACUCACAAUAUUACUUCUGAUAACUAGACUCAAUUCCACAUACUCUCUAUCAUUCACAUCACAUCUAUCUACAAAACUCUCUUUCUAAUUCACAAUAUCUCAUAUUCAACACCCAUUCUUCUACAUCUCAAUUCAAACGAUAAACCACUUUCCAAUAUGUAACAUGGUCAGAAUACUCCAAACCAUGCGUCUUUAUCAUUCUUAACUUAAUCAUUCAUUAUUAAUACUCUUUUGACUAGGUCUGACUCUGACCCUUAUCACAAUUCACUAUCUCAAUCAGUCCCCAUACUAGAAACCAAGUGUCUAGACUUAGGAACCAUGAUCCAUCUAAACAUGUACCCUCAACUUAAUUUAACUAUCUAGAUUCUAUUCCGAUUACCUCUCUAGACUAUCCCCAGACAGUCUCACAAUACCUCUAUAUGAGGUCACUGAACACUUCUUCUCUAUAAACUUAUAAUGACAACCUAUAUUCUAAUUUCAAUAACUUAUAACCUGUUGCUCUGAUACCAACUGUGACAGCCCGAGAAUCCGGGGGUCUGGAUUCUGACGUCACCACACAAAAUCAUUCUAAAACACUUUUGAAAACCUGUAUUUUUGAAAAAGGUAAUAAAAUCAAAGGAUUUAAAACCUGAAAACUUUAGUAAAAGAUUUAAAAGAAAACACUUUAACCCCCUAAAAACAGGAUCGCAUCCAGGUUACAGUAUUGAAAUUAGAAUCAACCACUAUUAAUAAACAUUAUCUUACAAACUCAGAUCAUCUUCGAUAAGAAGAAUCACUGCCAGUCUACCUCAAUUAUGACUUACAACUGAAUCUCAUCAAUACAAUUCUAUCUAGAACCAACCUUGACAAUCUCCAUGGACAUUCCACUUGUCCUCUGGAUAUUCUAUAACUCUGACUCCUCGCUUAGCCUUAGCCAUACUCGCAACCUCAAUCAAGCAAUUCAUCUCUAAGCUUUUCUGAAAUGGUUAAAAAGGAAUAGCAAGGGUGAGCAACAAUGCUCAGCAAGUGUAUAUAAGCAACAAUAGUCCUGAAAUAUCUUAUCAGGGUUCACAAGUUCAGGAUAUGUAAUUGAAAACUUCACAAUUCUUGUCAGUAAUUGAAAUCAGAAUUCAAACUUACAGAAGAAUUGUCGAAUUGGAUUCAUCACAUUUUUACUUAAAAACCAAAGGUUAGGCUGCUGAUCAGUCACGCACUAACCCCGAACAUGGCACACAGCCCUGUUCUCUAUACUGGAUCCAAGGCACACAUUGGCCUAUAAUUGACCACGAAUCUGGUCUGACCACGAAUCUGGUCCACAUAUUUUAUAAAAACUAAUCCAAUUCUAACAAUUUAAAUCAAUAGACAAUUCAAUCAACAGAACAGAAUCAUAAUCAUUAUCAACAACAGAAAUAUUCCAAAUCAACUUUUGAGGAUCAACAUUUCAUAAACCACAGUCUGUCUUUUGAUAAAUCAUAGUUCAGGAAAUUCCUAACUAUUCAGUAUCCUCCAUUAUCGGCUAAGCAACUGAAUUUAGCCUGCUAAACCAGCAUGACAAUGGCGGGUUGAAUAAUCAAGAAGAUCCCAGUUCAUUCUAGAUUCUGACUAUCACUGAGCAACACAUGCUUCAAUGACGGUCUGAACUUCGAAUUAAUUUGUAAAGCUGGUAUUUUUAAUAUCUUGAGGAUUGGAAAGAAUGGAUCAGAAUACUUGUAAUAGAAAUUGAGAGUAAUUUGGUGUUUGGAUUUUCAAAACUUGGAAGAAGAAAACAAUCAUGGGUUUCAUGCUCAGAAGUAAGAGUUUAUUUGAGAAGGGUUUCAGUAUAAACAAUAUCACAAUCUUGACAGAAAAAUCAGCACAUGCAAUAUAUAUAUGAGGAAGGAUUUAGGAAAACUUGCCUUAAAUCCGAUUCCAGUCUCAUAUCUCAAUCUCAUCUUUCCACUUUCACACUCUAUGCAUAUCAUAGUCUCUAGACCAUCUUUGGCUAUACUCUAUUCGCCACACUGCUUCGUUUACUCGAUUCGUUCCUUAUUCGCUUUGUAACAUCGUUUGACCUUCUGAACGUCUUCGAUCGUAUCCGUCUCGUCCAAACCCUUUACGAGAAUAAGAUACUACCAUUAUCACUAAAUAAUCUAUUGAUUCUUAUCUCUACUUAUCAACUCGGUAGCAUAACCUAUCGCAUACACAUAUCACGUAUAUCGAUACCCACUUAUAUAACUCUUUAAACUCAUCAAAUAUCACUUAACACAUAAUCAUGCUUUGACUCUACCAUAUAGUCUAAUCAUAUUUCACAUAACAUAUUAUCAAUUAAAUAUCAUAUAAAUCUUAUCGAAAAUCCGACAUCGUCUCGUCUAUUUAUUAGACUAUCCACCUGUUAUCCUAUCUCAAUCAACAAUCAACCAACCAAAUCCAAUCACUAUAAUCCGUAUGCUUUUAUCCGACAUCUAUCAAGACACGACACUAUGUCAUUUAAUCAUUUAUCACAUGUAUGUAAUACUAGAACAACCAGAUAGUCCAUGCAAUCAUCAAUUAAUAGCAAUUAGAUCACAUAUAAUCAUAUUCUAUACAUUUAACAACAAUUAUUCACAUUCUAUACUCCACCAUAUUAUUAUGUCACAUUAAAAUAGACUUUAUAAGCUUUAAUCUCUUUUUCGUUUCACUCCAUUCUGAAUUACGAGUCAAAAGUUAUGAACAAAACUGUUUUCUUACUCUCUAUCGGCACAUAACACAUCAAACAGAUAGCAGACAACAUAUUUCAUAUAAGGUCUCCCAUCCCGAUUGAUGUCAAAUCAAGUCUUGGGUUAAAAAUGAUUUUUCGGGAAUUUUCUGGAAUUUCUAGACAUUUUUCGGAAUUAAAACAGGUAAAAGAAUCCAUUUUUGAAUAAAUAAUCAAGUCCGAUUGCUCAAGAUCGGGUCCGAAAUCAUUUGAAAUCAAUUAACGAGCCUUAAACAUAUUUUAGAAAAAUAAUUCAAAGCUCGAAACUAUUUUCCAGAAUUUUUAAAUCAAAAGGAACAAUUAAAUCCAAUUAAUUAAUCAAUUAAAAUUAAUUAAUAAUUAACUAAAUUAAUUAAUCAAUUAAUAUUUAAAUUAAUUGACCAAUUAAAAUAAUUAAUUACUAACUAAAAUUAAUUUAGAAACUAAUUUAGAUUUAUUUUUGAAUAAAGAAAUAAUUAAAAACUAUUUUUGGAAUUCAAAAUAUAUAAAUAAAACAAUUUUAGAAAAUUAAAAUCAAAAGGUUUAAAGUGUAAACUUUUGAAAACUUGACCGCAAGGUCAAAACUGUAAAUUUCAAAAGUUACGGGGGCUGAUAUGCAAAAACUAAAACCCUGGUACCAUCAAUUCACCACCUUCAAAAGUCUGGGGGCUAAACGGCAAUUCGCCGCCGCCACCCCUUUUGACUCGCCGGAACUACUGUUCCCGGCCACCCCACGCCCCCAACAACUCCAGAUAUGGUCUACAGCUUCCCAGGAAUCGAUCCCUUCGAUCCAUUUCGCCAGAAACCACCCGAGGCAGCCGGAAUUUGAAAAGAAAGGUUCGCCGCCGGCGAACCUUUUCCUUCUCCGACCGGCUCGAUUUGCAACCCAGCACACAAAAUAGCUAUAUCAAUCGAUUCUAUACCACACAAUGAACAUAUUGGUACCCUUUGCUUCUACCCAGAUCAAACGGAUAAAGAUCCCGGCCAAAAAUUUAUAACUCCGGCGACUUUACUCAAGAACAACAGUUUCAAAAUCAAACCUACUUUUCUAGGUGUUAUUGAACUCCAAAAUCAACAUAUAAUAUAUGAAAACGAAUGGCAGGAGAUGCUCUACAACAUGGUAUCAUCAAAUCACAUAAACAAGAUCGUUUGCAAAAAUUCAUAUUUCAAAUCAUUUAAAUUCGAAAUUAAAAAGCUUAUUUAGCAAAAACCUGUCGAUUCAGCACUGAUAUGGAUGACUACAAUAGAUUCUACGCGUCGAGAGCUUCGUUUUGACUAUUCAUACGCCUCCAUCGGAUUCCAAUAACGCCUUCAAAUCCUCGUUUGAUUGUGAAGAACACGAAGAACACCCGUUCGUCUUCUCUCGGUAUUCGUGCAGAGAAACUGACGAAAUGAUUGUACGUGC